CCAACGUAUGCUCUACAGUUCGAUUAUGAAAAUGAUCGUUCUCGCUAGGCACACACAUCUUUGUGAAUCGUCUGGUAGCCUUGGGAUUUAAAAAUAGCGAACCAUAGCGGCUAGCUGAUCCCUAUAGGCAACAAAAAUCUUACUGAAGAACUGAAUCUGGUUGGAAAACUAAAAGUUAACAUGGCCGCAAGGUUAUAAAA
rnacentral:misc_RNA from 1 species